rnacentral:sRNA from 1 species
CGUCGGCAGAGAGGGAAAGGGGCAGGGCCCCUUGUUGCCCUGGGGUCACGCGCAGCCGGAAGUGGCUGCUGCUGCGGAGAAUUGGAGAUGGGGACCGCCCUGGACAUCAAGAUUAAAAGAGCGAAUAAAGUUUAUCACGCCGGGGAAGUGCUCUCUGGCGUGGUGGUCAUAUCGAGUAAGGAUUCAGUCCAGCACCAAGGAGUGUCUUUGACCAUGGAAGGAACUGUAAACCUCCAGCUCAGUGCCAAAAGUGUGGGUGUGUUCGAAGCUUUUUAUAAUUCUGUUAAGCCUAUCCAGAUUAUCAACAGCAACAUAGAAAUGGUGAAGCCAGGGAAGUUUCCCAGCGGCAAAACAGAAAUCCCUUUUGAAUUUCCUCUGCACGUGAAGGGUAACAAAGUUCUGUAUGAGACGUAUCAUGGCGUGUUUGUCAACAUUCAGGUAAGAGCUUCCUAGUGCCACGCGACUGACUUCACAAGUUUUCUUCUGAAAAACGGUGUGGUCUUUCUCUCAACAUUAGUAGACGGGCCCAAGAAUUUAAUACUGUGUUUAUUGCUGAGACCUCGCAUGUGUAUUCCAUGUUAAUUUCUCAUUUUUCCCUGAUAAAUGCGUUUGAUGUAUGGCCGUUACUUCUGAUGGGAGCCUCAAGGCACUUGUGCUGUAACUUCCCUCUGUUUCUUCUGGGCUCUUUGC